AUGUGCAGAUCCCAGCCCUCCUGUGGCAGCAGCUCGGGAGCCCUUUCAAAUCUGAGAAGGAACAGCCGGAUUAGGAAGAGAGGAUUGCAAUCUCAGAGGCGGGUGAGAGCGGCUGUGGUUUUCGAGGCGUUCAGGAGGCGGUUGUUGGUCUGGCAGUCCCAUCAAGCCCCAGCUGCAAUGGUGGACUUGAACACCAAGUUUCUGGAAGGGGUGGAGGGGAAACUCAAGAACUUGCAGCUAUCUGAAGCUGAGAAAAAGGGAAUCGGGAUUGGGAAGAAGCAGGCAUGCUCCUCGCAAGUGAGCAAGCUUCAGGCUGUAGGUAAACUUCUCUCAGAGAGGCUGGCUAGAGCAGAACAUGUAGGAAGAUCUCUGGGGGCACAAAAGGCUGACAAGGAUAAGGCACUAGAUGCUGGACCUUGGAGAUUUAACAAUGAUCUGUUGGUGAUGGAGGACUUUGUGCCAAGUAGAAUCAUAGAUGAUUACGAAUUCAAGUCAAUACCUAUUUGGGUUAGAGCUUAUGGUAUUCCUAUGGGGAUGAUGAGCAGAGAAACCGGAAUUCUAGUGGGAGAACAAAUUGGAGAAGUUGUUGAUGUAGACCCAGACAUUAAUGGGGAUUCGAUGGGAGUAUUUAUGCGGAUUAAAGUGAAAAUAGAUAUCACAGUUCCAAUCAUGAGGUUUAUAACAUCCUUUAUUGACGAUGAGGAGGAACAAGAGCAGGACAAUGAAAUGAAACUUAGGGGAGAUGAUGAAGAGAAAUAA
rnacentral:rRNA from 1 species